GGGGGGGGGGGGGGGGGGGGGGGGGGCGGGGGGGGGGGGGGACGGACCAGGGCUUGGCCUGGGGCAAAGCAGCGAACGGGUGAGUAACACGUGGGUAACCUACCCCGAUAACCGGGACAACCCGAGGAAACUCGGGCUAAUACCGGAUGUGCUCACUGGACUUCGGUUCGGUGCGUAAAGGAAGCUUCGGCCUCCGUAUCGGGAGGGGCCCGCGGCCCAUUAGUUUGUUGGUGAGGUAACGGCUCACCAAGACCGCGAUGGGUAGCUGGUCUGAGAGGACGAUCAGCCACACUGGGACUGAGACACGGCCCAGACUCCUACGGGAGGCAGCAGUGGGGAAUCUUGCGCAAUGCGCGAAAGCGUGACGCAGCAACGCCGCGUGGGGGAAGAAGGCCUUCGGGUUGUAAACCCCUUUCAGGAGGGACGAAGGUUCGGCGGUGAAUAGCCGUCCGGACUGACGGUACCUCCACAAGAAGCCCCGGCUAACUACGUG
rnacentral:rRNA from 1 species